AAUCUUGGGCCUGAUCCAAAACCCACUGAAGUCAAUGGAAAGACUUUCAUUGUCUUCAGUGGGCUUUGUAUCAGGCCCAUAAAUC
rnacentral:pre_miRNA from 1 species